AGUGAACGCUGGCGGUAGGCCUAACACAUGCAAGUCGAACGGCGGCACAGUAAGAGCUUGCUCUUACGGGUGGCGAGUGGCGGACGGGUGAGGAAUACAUCGGAAUCUACUUUUUCGUGGGGGAUAACGUAGGGAAACUUACGCUAAUACCGCAUACGACCUACGGGUGAAAGCAGGGGAUCUUCGGACCUUGCGCGAUUGAAUGAGCCGAUGUCGGAUUAGCUAGUUGGCGGGGUAAAGGCCCACCAAGGCGACGAUCCGUAGCUGGUCUGAGAGGAUAUCAGCCACACUGGAACUGAGACACGGUCCAGACUCCUACGGGAGGCAGCAGUGGGGAAUAUUGGACAAUGGGCGCAAGCCUGAUCCAGCCAUACCGCGUGGGUGAAGAAGGCCUUCGGGUUGUAAAGCCCUUUUGUUGGGAAAGAAAAGCAGCAGGUUAAUACCCCGCUGUUCUGACGGUACCCAAAGAAUAAGCACCGGCUAACUUCGUG
rnacentral:rRNA from 1 species